CAGGGCUUAAAGUCUUGUAAUUGGAAUGAUGGGAAUUUAAACCUCUUCCAGAGUAUCAAUUGGAGGGCAAGUCUGGUGCCAGCAGCCGCGGUAAUUCCAGCUCCAAUAGCGUAUAUUAAAAUUGUUGCAGUUAAAAAGCUCGUAGUUGAAUUUCUGCUGCAUUGCUUGUGUCCCUCUGGGGUCUGUGCAUGUGGCUUUUUUCGGACGGAGUUUCUUUGUCUGAAUGUUUACUUUGAGAAAAUUAGAGUGCUCAAAGCAGGCUUUCGCCUUGAAUAGUUUAGCAUGGAAUAAUAAAGUAGGACUUUGGUUCUAUUUUGUUGGUUUUAGGUACCAAAGUAAUGGUUAAUAGGAACAGUUGGGGGCAUUCGUAUUUAACUGUCAGAGGUGAAAUUCUUAGAUUUGUUAAAGACGAACUACUGCGAAAGCAUUUGCCAAGGAUGUUUUCAUUAAUCAAGAAC
rnacentral:rRNA from 1 species